AUAAACGCUGGCGGCGUGCCUAACACAUGCAAGUCGAACGCGCCCGCAGGGGCAACCCUGUGGGUGAGUGGCGGACGGGUGAGUAACACGUGGGUUAUCUACCUUGAGGUGAGGAAUACCGGCGAGAAAUCGCCGACAAUACCGCAUAGGUUCGGAACCUUCCGAACAAAGUCCCUUUGGGACGUCUCAAGAUGAGCCUGAGUCCGAUUAGCUUCGUUGGUGGGGUAAAAGCCUACCAAGGCGACGAUCGGUAGCUGGUCUGAGAGGACGAUCAGCCACACUGGGAUUGAGAACGGCCCAGACUCCUACGGGGGGCAGCAGUGAGGAAUUUUCGUCAAUGGGGGCAACCCUGAACGAGCAACGCCGCGUGCAGGAAGAAGGUUUUCGGAUCGUAAACUGCUUUUCUUGGGGAAGAUAAGGACGGUACCCGAGGAAGAAGCCCCGGCUAACUACGUGCCAGCAGCCGCGGUAAUACGUAGGGGGCGAGCGUUGUCCGGAUUUACUGGGCGUAAAGCGCGUGUAGGCGGUCUUUUAAGUCCGGGGUGAAAGGCGGAGGCUCAACCUCCGAGCGGCGCCGGAAACUGGGAGACUUGAGUGUCGGAGAGGGGAGUGGAAUUCCUGGUGUAGCGGUGAAAUGCGUAGAGAUCAGGAGGAACACCGGCGGCGAAGGCGGCUCCCUGGCCGAACACUGACGCUGAGACGCGAAAGCGCGGGGAGCGAACGGGAUUAGAUACCCCGGUAGUCCGCGCCGUAAACGAUGGUCACUAGGUGUACGCGGUAUCGACCCCGCGUGUGCCGCAGCUAACGCAUUAAGUGACCCGCCUGGGGAGUACGGCCGCAAGGUUGAAACUCAAAGGAAUUGACGGGGGCCCGCACAAGCGGUGGAGCAUGUGGAUUAAUUCGUCAUUAACCGAAGAACCUUACCAGGGCUUGACAUCCCAGGAACCCUGCUGAAAGGUGGGGGUGCCCCGCAAGGGGAGCCUGGAGACAGGUGUUGCAUGGCUGUCGUCAGCUCGAGUCGUGAGAUGUUGGGUUAAGUCCCGCAACGAGCGCAACCCUCACGCGAUGUUGCCAGCGUAAAGUCGGGCACUCUUCGCGAACUGCCCGGGUAACCGGGAGGAAGGUGGGGAUGACGUCAAGUCGGCAUGGCCCUUACGCCCUGGGCUUCACACAUGCUACAAUGGGUGCGACAAAGGGCUGCAAACCCGCGAGGGGGAGCCAAUCCCAGAAACGUGCUCUCAGUUCGGAUUGCAGGCUGCAACUCGCCUGCAUGAAGUCGGAAUCGCUAGUAACCGCCGGUCAGCUAAACGGCAGGUGAUACGUUCCCGGGCAUUGUACUCAC
rnacentral:rRNA from 1 species